GCCAGUAGUCAUACGCUCGUCUCAAAGAUUAAGGUAUGUUAAACUUACUUUAUUGAUCCAGUUCAUAACACAAAUACAUGCACCUUCCAUUGGUUGGGUGUCUAGGGCUGAAGAUUUGGGAAACUAUCCCGUGCACAGAUGCUGCAAUGAGCCAGUAAUGAUGUCUGUUAUCUUGAUCAGCUCUGCAGCACUAUAGGCCAACCUGCCCUGCACCGACACCCUCAAAGAAGGCAGCAAUGCUGGUGCAUGUAUGAACUGGAGUGUUUCGUUCUGGCGGCAUCUUGAACUGUGAGACUGUUUCUCACUGUACUCUUUUCUCUUCAAAACUUGUGCUCUUUUCUCCUCAAAACUCGCCUCCAUUGCGAUUCUGGAAAACUUGCCUCCAUUUUAACUGGGAAAACUUGACCCUAACAGCCAUGCAUGUCUAAGUAUAAAUAUUCUACUUUGAAACUGCGAACGGCUCAUUAUAUCAGUUAUAAUUUAUUGGAUAGUCCCUUACUACUUGGUAUACCCGUAGUAAUUCUAGAGCUAAUACAUGCGUCAAUACCCUUGUGGGUAGCAAUUAUUAGAUUGAAACCAACCCCUUCGGGGUGAUGUGGUGAUUCAUAAUAAUAGAGUGGAUCGCACGGCUCUUGCCGGCGACGGAUCUUUCAAGUUUCUGCCCUAUCAGCUUUGGAUGGUACGGUAUUGGCCUACCAUGGCUUUAACGGGUAACGGGAAAUUAGGGUUUGAUUCCGGAGAGGGGGCCUGAGAGGUAUGUUUCCUUUGUAUAUUCUGUUAUGUAUUAUGGUCCUUUGACAUGUUGUGUGGACUGUUAUAGCGUGGCUAUGGCCACUGCAAGGCCUUGCUAAACACACACACUAUAGAUAGAUAGGGACUUGUUGGUGUGAACUUUGUGUUCACCAGUCACUACUCCUAUUGUUUGUUUGUUUGUUUGGUUUCUAACACACACUCUUGUUCUUAUUCUUUUUCCUUCUCUGAAUAUAUAAUAUAUAUAUCAUUUAUUCUCUCUUAGAUGGCCACCACAUCCAAGGAAGGCAGCAGGCGCGUAAAUUACCCAAUCCUGACACAGGGAGGUAGUGACAAUAAAUAACAAUGCCGGGCCUUUGUAGGUCUGGCAAUUGGAAUGAGAACAAUUUAAACCCCUUAUCGAGGAUCAAUUGGAGGGCAAGUCUGGUGAGUAAAUGAUGGAAUUUCACAACCGUUGGGUUUUAGACUUCACAAUGCCAAGCCAUCACAGCAAGCUAUAAUUCCAGAUAACUCCACACUAAUUGAAAGAGAAUGACCAACUCACACACAAUUCACUCUUUCCUCACUUCUUCUGAAUCUGCAGGUGCCAGCAGCCGCGGUAAUUCCAGCUCCAAUAGCGUAAGUUCAAUUUUGUUUUCUAGGUGUUUAUCUGGUUAUGGUUAGGAUCAAACAAUUACUCACAAAAACUUCCUCCCAUUGCACUUGCUUCCACUAUUAAAUCAAUCUCAAACAACAGGUAUAUUAAAGUUGUUGCAGUUAAAAAGCUCGUAGUUGGAUUUGUGGCUGUCACGUGCGGCCUGGCACUUAGUGCCAGCGCUUUGCUUGUGUCGCCAUCCUUGGGUGGAACCUGUGUGGCAUUAGGUUGUCGUGCAGGGGAUGCCCAUCUUUUACUGUGAAAAAAUUAGAGUGUUCAAAGCAGGCUUAUGCCGUUGAAUAUAUUAGCAUGGAAUAAUAGGAUAGGACCUUGGUACUAUUUUGUUGGUUUGCGCACCAAGGUAAUGAUUAAUAGGGACAGUUGGGGGUAUUCGUAUUCCAUUGUCAGAGGUGAAAUUCUUGGAUUUUUGGAAGACGAACUACUGCGAAAGCAUUUAUCAAGGAUGUUUUCAUUAAUCAAGAACGAAAGUUAGGGGAUCGAAGAUGAUCAGAUACCAUCGUAGUCUUAACCAUAAACUAUGCCGACAAGGGAUUGGUGGAGUUUUCAUUUUGUCUCCAUCAGCACCUUAUGAGAAAUCACAAGUCUUUGGGUUCCGGGGGGAGUAUGGUCGCAAGGCUGAAACUUAAAGAAAUUGACGGAAGGGCACCACCAGGUACGUUCAUUCAACUAUGUAAAUAAAUGAUUAAAGAGCUAAGCUACUUGCAAAUGAUCGAGACUAUGAGUCGAAGCGUUUGUUUGCCAACGCUGUCGUUUGUUUCAAAACUU
rnacentral:rRNA from 1 species